AGCGCCAAGCCAGCGCGGGGCGCUAACUGCCGCUCAGCCAAGGAGGGUCGAGUUCGAGCCCCGGGAGGGGCGGUCCCGCGCUAAAUCCGGCUGCAGGGCGGAAGCGGGGCUCCGAGAGCUUUAGGGCUGCAAACGCCCGCAGGGCAAAGACCGGACGAACCUCCCAGUUCUCGGUCCUGGAGACCAAGAAGACACAGCCUUGGAGCCCGCGGGCCCCUCCGCUCCACUGCCAUUCUCCCUUCUCCUCCUGGGAUCGGUGCGAGGGGAGAGAGUGGGCAGAUUGUCCGCAGAGUGGCUGAUUCCGCUUGGCACUUUAAUUCUGGAAGUAUCGUCAGACGGCCGCUGGAUUUCCCAAUCACCACAAAGGAGUGA
rnacentral:lncRNA from 1 species